AUUGAACGCUGGCGGCAGGCCUAACACAUGCAAGUCGAGCGGAGCGGCUGUCGGGUUUUUUUUGCCUAUUAAUCUGCCUGGUAGUGGGGUUUAACGUCCGCAAACGGGCGCUAUUACCGCAUCCUAUAAGAUCAGCCUAGGUCGGAUUGGCUAGUUGGUGGGGUAAAGGCCUACCAAGGCGACGAUCAGUAACUGGUCUGAGAGGAUGAUCAGUCACACUGGAACGUAGACACGGUCCAGACUCCUACGGUAUGCAGCAGUGGGGAAUAUUGGACAAUGGGCGAAAGCCUGCUCCAGCCAUGCCGCGUGUGUGAAGAAGGUCUUCGGAUUGUAAAGCACUUUAAGUUGGGAGGCGUUAAAAACAGAAUAAGCACCGGCUAACUUCGUGCCAGCAGCCGCGGUAAUUG
rnacentral:rRNA from 1 species